AGUACAUCUUACUUACAAACUAAUAAAUCAUUCAAACAACUCUAUCCCUUAAGUAAAAAGCAAACAUUUGGCAUUAUCAUUCUUUUAUUUUGACCAAACAAGUUCAGUCAGCCAUAAAUUAGGUGAUAAAUCUUAAACCUCUGAACAUUACCUACAUUAAUACUUAAUGUCAAUUCCAUGCCUAAAGGGAGCCUUCUGAGAGAAAGGAAAUGUCAUCCAGAUACAACUCUGCCAACUUUGCCAUCUACUAUGCUUGCCCCUCCAAGAAGAAUACAUCAAUACCUUUAAACGCCCCGAACCUGACUGAUCACCUUCCAGAUUCGUAAUCUACAGAAAAAACUGGUCUAGAAAAAUAUAAGCAAAUUUUGUCCCUCUUCCAGUGGUUCCCUCUCCCACCACCGGACUAAUAUCAUCUCAUCAUGAUUUCCAAGAAGCGAACAGUUACUGAAGAACAUCGUGUGAUGCAGGAAAAGUGGAAAAUAUCUUACUUUUUUGCUGAAGUGAAUGGAAAACCAACUUGUUUGAUUUGCAACCAAAUUAUAGCGGUGUCAAAAGAAUAUAACAUUCGGCAACAUUACACAAGCACUCAUGCUUCAAAGUAUGAUGUGUAUAGUGGAAAACUUUGUGAAGAAAAAGUAAAGACGCUAGAACAGUCUCUCAAAAGGUAGCAGUCAGUGUAUCAGCUUGUUCAUGAAGCCAGUUACACUGCAGUACGGGCAAGUUAUAGAAUUGCACGGGAAAUAGCUGUCAUCAAAACAAUUUUCAGAAGGGGACUUUAUAAAGAAUUCUAUGCAUGAUGAUGGCCGCAGAAGAUAUUUGCCCUGAAAAACGUAGAUCAUUUGCAAACAUAAACCUUUCAAGAAAUACAGUUGCAGAAAGAAUAAAUGAACUGUCAGAAAAUCUUAAUAGUCAGCUCAAAGAAAAAGUUGCUAAAUUUGUAGCAUUUUCUGUAGCAAUCGAUGAAAGUACAGACAUUACUGACAUUGCACAACUAACAGUGUUCAUACGUGGUGUUGAUGAAAAUAUGCAGGUAACUGAAGAAUUCGUGGAAUUAGUACCAAUGAAAGAACAACAACGGGGGAUGAUAUUAUGAGUUUGACUGGUGCACUUGAUAGGAUAGGUGUUGACUGGAAGAAAACUGUGAGUCUGACAACAGAUGGAGCAUCUCAAAUGGUUGGUAGAAAGGCUGGCGUGACAGCAAAGUUAAAGGAAAAACUACUCACUCUGAAUUCAGACCAUCAAAUUCAGUGUUCAUUGCAUAAUUCACAGGGAAGUGCUUUGCAGUAAAAUAUUAAAGAUGAAUCACGUUAUGGAUGUUGUUGUCAAGGCAGUAAACUUUAUACGAGCGCGAGGUCUGAACCACAGACAGUUCAACUGCCUAUUGGAGGAAACUCACUCUCAUGGUCUGCCUUAUCACACUGAUGUUCGUUGGUUAAGCCGGGGAAUUGUGCUGAAGCGCUUUUAUGAAUUAAGAAGUGAAAUACAAAGUUUCAUGCAUAACAAAGGAAGAAAUGUCCAGGAACUGAACGACUAUGAUUGGCUUCAAGAUUUAGCCUUCAUGGUAGAUAUGACAGAACACUUGAUUUGCUCAAUACAAGACUGCAAGGUCGCAUUAAAUUGGUGACAGACAUGCAUGAGUCCAUUCGUGCUUUUGAGGUGAAGCUCAAACUUUUUGAACGUCAACUAGCAGCGAAUAAUGCUGCACACUUUCCUACACUGAAAUCAUUGCAAAGCACACCUGAGUUUCGUGGAAUUAUCAGCAGAG